CUGGUCUGAGGGAAGGCGAGGAUCGCCCUCGCCGCCGGUUCGGCCAGUGCAUUGGGCCCGGCCCCGACAAGCAGCCCGCGGAGGGGCUCUUCCGAGCCAGCCUUGGACCUUCGCGGUUGCCGCCUCCUCCUCCCGCCUCUGGAUUUGGAGGAAUUCCGCCUCGCAGCCCCCGCUCUGGACUGCCUCUGUCUCUCGCGUGUGAGGGCGCCAGUGCUUAGCGAGCGAGCCUGGGGCGCGCGCGCCGCGAAGGCAUCGCGGGGACCCAUUCGCCAUG
rnacentral:other from 1 species